rnacentral:rRNA from 1 species
GACGAACGCUGGCGGCGUGCUUAACACAUGCAAGUCGAACGGAAAGGCCCUGCUUUUGUGGGGUUCUCGAGUGGCGAACGCGUGAGUGACACGUGAGUAACCUGCCCUUGACUUUGGGAGAACUUCAGGAAACUGGGGCUAAUACCGGAUAGGAUCUCCUGCUCCAUGGUGGGGGUUGGAAAGUUUCGGCGUUUGGGGUUGGACUCGCGGCUUACGAACUUGUUGGUGGGGUAGUGGCUUACCAAGGCUUUGACGGGUAGCCGGCCUGAGAGGGUGACCGGCCACCAGGGGACUGAGAUAGGGACCAGACGCCUACGGGAGGCAGCAGUGGGGAAUAUUGCACAGUGGGCGGAAGCCUGAUGCAGCAACGCCGGGGGCGGGAUGACGGCUUUUGGGGUGUAAACCGCUUUCGCCUGUGACGAAGCGUGAGUGACGGUAAUGGGUAAAGAAGCACCGGCUAACUACGUG